rnacentral:misc_RNA from 1 species
AACGCACAUUGCGCCCGCCAGCAUCCUGGCGGGCAUGCCUGUUCGAGCGUCAUUUCAACCCUCAGGUCCUGCCUGGUGUUGGGGACCUGCGCCUGCAGUCCCCGAAAGACAGCGGCGGGCUCGUCCCGGCUCCGAGCGUAGUAACUUACGUAGCUCCGGGUGCCGGGCGGGCUCCGGCCGUGAACCCCUAUUUUCAAAGGUUGACCUCGGAUCAGGUAGGAAUACCCGCUGAACUUAA